rnacentral:miRNA from 1 species
GGCUACUCGGUUAUAAUCCUGUGCU